rnacentral:rRNA from 1 species
GGCUUAGAAGCAGCCAUGCAUUCAAAGAGUGCGUAACAGCUCACUGGUCGAGUGGGGGCGCGCCGACAAUGCGCGGGGCUCAAGCACGGCGCCGAAGCGGCGGAAUCAAGUAAUUGAUUGGUAGGGGAGCUUUCCAUGCCGGGCGAAGCCGGAGGCGCGAGCCCCGGUGGACGGCAUGGAAGUGAGGAUGCAGGCAUGAGUAGCGAGAGAGCGGCGAGAAACCGCUCCGCCGAAAACCCAAGGUUUCCUGGGCGAGGCUAAUCCCCCCAGGGUCAGCCGGGAGCUAAGGCGAGGCCGCAAGGCGCAGCCGAUGCACGACGGGCAGACAUUCCCGUGCCGGCGCGGGCGCGCUACGACCGAUGGGACGACGGGGAAGGAUACGCGAGCGGGGUUCUGGACGUCCCCGUGAAAGCGCGUAGGGAGGGGCCCAGGGAAAUCCGGUCCCCACACAUCCCGAGACGCGAGACGAGCCCUAUGGCGAAGUCGCGGAUUCCAUGCCUCCUAGAAAAAUCCCUAGGCAGCGCCCACGCCGCCCGUACCAAAACCGACACAGGUGGGUAGGAAGAGCAUUCCGAGGCGAUCGGGGCAACCAUGGUCAAGGAACUCGGCAUAAUCGUCCCGUAACUUAGGGAGAAGGGACGCCCCCCAGCGUGUACCGGCUCGCCCGGGAGGCGCCGGGGGGCCGCAGCGAAAGGGCCCAAGCGACUGUUUACCAAAAACACAGGACUCUGCCAAGCCGCGAGGCGAAGUAUAGGGUCUGACGCCUGCCCGGUGCCGGAAGGUUACGCGGAUGCGUUAGCACUCGUGCGAAGCGCUGAAGCCAAGCCCCGGUAAACGGCGGCCGUAACUAUAACGGUCCUAAGGUAGCGAAAUUCCUUGUCGGGUAAGUUCCGACCUGCACGAACGGCGCAACGACUUGGGCGCUGUCUCGACCAUGGGCCCGGCGAAAUUGCAUUAUCCGUGAAGAUGCGGAUUCCCCGCGGAAGGACGGAAAGACCCCGUGAACCUUUACUGCAGCUUGGCAUUGGCCGCAGGCGCGGCGCGUAGAGGAUAGGCAGGAGGCUGCGAAGCCCGGGCGCCAGCCCGGGCGGAGCCGACCUUGGAAUACUGCCCCCGUCGCGUCGGCGGCCUAACCCGGGGACGGCCCGGGGACCGUGCCAGGCGGGCAGUUUGACUGGGGCGGUCGCCUCCCAAAGAGUAACGGAGGCGCGCGCAAGGUCCGCUCAGGACGGUCGGCAACCGUCCGAAGAGCGCAAGAGCACAAGCGGGCCUGACUGCGAGGCAGACAAGCCGAGCAGGGACGAAAGUCGGCUCUAGUGAUCCGGCGGCCCCGAGUGGAAGGGCCGUCGCUCAACGGAUAAAAGGUACUCCGGGGAUAACAGGCUGAUCUUGCCC